GGGGAAUUUUGGACAAUGGGGGCAACCCUGAUCCAGCCAUGCCGCGUGUAUGAAGAAGGCCUUCGGGUUGUAAAGUACUUUUGUUAGGGAAGAAAAGGGAAGUGCUAAUACCACUUUUUGCUGACGGUACCUAAAGAAUAAGCACCGGCUAACUACGUGCCAGCAGCCGCGGUAAUACGUAGGGUGCGAGCGUUAAUCGGAAUUACUGGGCGUAAAGCGAGCGCAGACGGUUAUUUAAGCAGGAUGUGAAAUCCCCGGGCUUAACCUGGGAACUGCGUUCUGAACUGGAUAGCUAGAGUGUGUCAGAGGGGGGUAGAAUUCCACGUGUAGCAGUGAAAUGCGUAGAGAUGUGGAGGAAUACCGAUGGCGAAGGCAGCCCCCUGGGAUAACACUGACGUUCAUGCUCGAAAGCGUGGGUAGCAAACAGGAUUAGAUACCCUGGUAGUCCACGCCCUAAACGAUGUCGAUUAGCUGUUGGGCAACUUGAUUGCUUAGUAGCGUAGCUAACGCGUGAAAUCGACCGCCUGGGGAGUACGGUCGCAAGAUUA
rnacentral:rRNA from 1 species